rnacentral:rRNA from 1 species
AAACAUAAAUAUUUUUACCCAAACAAUUCGCCAGGGAACUACAAACAUCAGUUUAAAACCCAAAGGACUUGGCGGUGCUUAACAUCCACCUAGAGGAGCCUGUUCUAGAACCGAUACCCCCCGUUAAACCUCACCCCUCCUUGCCAAAUUCAGCCUGUAUACCGCCGUCGUCAGCUUACCCUGUGAAGGAACCGAAGUAAGCAAAACCGGUAACACCCAAAACGUCAGGUCAAGGUGCAGCACAUGGAAGGGAAAGAAAUGGGCUACAUUUACUAAUUUAUAGUAUAACACGAACGAUAACCUGAAAUAAUUAUCUGAAGGAGGAUUUAGAAGUAAGCUAGAAAUAGAGCGUCUC